CCUACGGGAGGCAGCAGUAGGGAAUCUUUCACAAUGGGCGAAAGCCUGAUGGAGCAACGCCGCGUGCAGGAUGAAGGCCUUCGGGUUGUAAACUGCUUUUAUAAGCGAGAAAUAUGAUGGUACCUUAUGAAUAAGGAUCGGCUAACUCCGUGCCAGCAGCCGCGGUAAUACGGAGGAUCCGAGCGUUAUCCGGAUUUAUUGGGUUUAAAGGGAGCGUAGGCGGGUUGUUAAGUCAGUUGUGAAAGUUUGCGGCUCAACCGUAAAAUUGCAGUUGAUACUGGCAUCCUUGAGUACAGUAGAGGUAGGCGGAAUUCGUGGUGUAGCGGUGAAAUGCUUAGAUAUCACGAAGAACUCCGAUUGCGAAGGCAGCCUGCUGGACUGUAACUGACGCUGAUGCUCGAAAGUGUGGGUAUCAAACAGGAUUAGAUACCCCAGUAGUC
rnacentral:rRNA from 1 species